GAGGAGGUGGUGCAGCGGUUUACCCUGUCAGCUUGCACUUGAAGGUCUUGGGUUUGAAUCCCACCUCCUGCU
rnacentral:tRNA from 1 species